GACGGGUGAGUAACGCGUGAGAAUCUGCCUUCAGGUCGGGGAUAACAGCUGGAAACGGCUGCUAAUACCGGAUGAGCCGAGAGGUAAAAGCAAAAGUGCCUGAAGAUGAGCUCGCGUCUGAUUAGUUAGUUGGUGGGGUAAGAGCCUACCAAGGCGACGAUCAGUAGCUGGUCUGAGAGGAUGAUCAGCCACACUGGGACUGAGACACGGCCCAGACUCCUACGGGAGGCAGCAGUGGGGAAUUUUCCGCAAUGGGCGCAAGCCUGACGGAGCAACACCGCGUGAGGGAGGAAGGCCCUUGGGUUGUAAACCUCUUUUGUCAGGGAAGAAGGUCUGACGGUACCUGACGAAUCAGCAUCGGCUAACUCCGUGCCAGCAGCCGCGGUAAUACGGAGGAUGCAAGCGUUAUCCGGAUUUAUUGGGCGUAAAGGGUCCGCAGUGGGUUAUUCAAGUCUGCUGUCAAAGCGCGGAGCUUAACUCCGUACAGGCGGUUGGAAACUGAGGAACCUAGAGUCUGGGUAGGGGUCGCGGGAAUUCCUCAGUUGUAGCGGUGAAAUGCGUAGAUAUUGGGAAGACACCGGCGGCGAAGCGCGCGAACUGGAACGAACUGACCUGAGUACGAAAGCUUAGGAAGCCGAAAGGAAUU
rnacentral:rRNA from 1 species